rnacentral:rRNA from 1 species
CAGCGGCCCUAGUGGUUAUCGUUAUUAUUGGGCCUAAAGCGUCCGUAGCCGGUUCGGUAAAUCUCUGGGUAAAUCGUUGGGCUUAACUCAACGAAUUCUGGGGAGACUGCCGAACUUGGGACCGGGAGAGGUCGGAGGUACUCCAGGGGUAGGGGUGAAAUCCUGUAAUCCUUGGGGGACCGCCGGUGGCGAAGGCGUCCGACCAGAACGGGUCCGACGGUAAGGGACGAAGCCCUGGGGCGCGAACCGGAUUAGAUACCCGCGUAGUCC